GGAGGUAUAGUUCAGUUGGUAGAAUGCUUGCCUCACAUGCAUAAGGCUCUGGGUUCAAUCCCCAGGACCACAA
rfam:Ictidomys tridecemlineatus contig004521, whole genome shotgun sequence.